rnacentral:lncRNA from 1 species
UGGGGGACACCGAGGCCUCGCCUGUGACCUUAUCCUGGGGCCAGGCUACCAGCCAGCUGCGCGAACAAGCUCUUGCGGCAGGGGGCAGGGCUAAGCACGCUGUGCCCAAGGCUGAGCGCCACCCUGGCAGGGGCCUCACUCCUCAGGUCUCUCCUGUGGCCCUCAGGGGACAAGGACGCUCUUUCCACUCAGCCAGGGAGUGCCCUGGCUGCUCUGCCCCUCUCCCCACAGGACCCCUUAACCUAGGGCCUCUCACACCUACAGGUGGCCAGGAACCCAGUGGGCCUCAGAAUGUGCAUUUGUACCGGGUUCCCAAGGCCACAGAGGCUGACUGGCGGGAUCCGGGCUGAACUCCAGAGGGGAGGGCCUCUGCCCCCCGGAACCCUGGGAUGGAAGCAGCAUUUUGGAGGCUGAUUCCCAAGGAGGUAGGUCAUGGGCUGGCUGUGCCUGGUCCCAAUGGAAACGGACUUGGGGUUUGGCUCCGGGCUGGUCUCGGUUCAAGUCUUGAGCAAGGCCUGGGUGAGCCUGGUUCUGUGCGGUCCUGGCGCCUUCCAGACCGGCUUCGUCGUCUGGGCGAGCGGGAGGCUGGGUGUUGUUCGCUCUCUGGCCACCAGGGGGCGGUGAGAAGCAUUUUCCUGUCUUCCGGCGGGUCUUGGGGCCCCGUCCCUGUAACAGGGAGAACACUUUCGCCCCGCUUCUUACCCGCUGUGUGGCUUUGGGCGGGUUACUAACCUUUCUGAGCUCAGUUUCUGACUCAGCCUGGCUGCGCUGGGGCCAAACCCUCACAUUUCUAACAAGCGCCCAGAUAUUCGCCGCUGUGGGCGGCCGGGACAGUGCGGGGGUGACAAGGCUCCCGGCUCGCUCGAAGGGGGAAGAAGGACGACACCGGGCACCCACCGCGGGCCUCGGAACAAGCGCCCGAACUUCUCCCGCCCCGGGCUUCAUCCACGCCUUCGCUGGCUUGUUUCCUCCGCACUGCACUCUGGAAGGUAGUAGGGGGAACCAUUACCACCCCCCGCUAGCGGUGCAGAGCCGAGGGCCGCGGGGCGCAUGCGCUGUUGGGCACCGCUGUCCGCCUGGAAGGGCAGAGAGGCAGUCCCACCCCAGGCCUUCGCCUCGAAAUUACAUCUGCGCCCCUGAGGCUCAAGGCCUCCCACGGGGAGCUCGCUCAUGCCUUGGGAGCACACACAGCACAUUUGGGAGCAGGGAACAGGGGUUUUGUGAUCCUAGCAUGGUUUGCUGAACCCAGAUAUUAAGCCGGCAGACUUGGAGGAGAAGGGGAAGGAGAGGAGCAGGAGGCUGGCUAGCAAGGCCAGCUGCGUAGUAACCUCAGAGGAAUGGUGCGGGUGUGGGGCCUGGUGGGGGUCAGCAGACGCCCACCA